UACGAAGGUGGCAAGCGUUACUCGGAAUUACUAGGCGUAAAGGGCAGGUAGGUGGUUUGAUAAGUCUGUUGUGAAAGCUCCCGGCUCAACUGGGAGAGCCAACAGAAACUAUCAGGCUUGAGUAUGGGAGAGGUACUGGAAUUCUGGUGUAGCGGUGAAUGACGCAGAUAUACAGGAGGAACACCGAUGGCGAAAGCAGGUACCUGGACCAUUACUGACACUCAGCUGCGAAAGCUAGGGGAGCAAACAGG
rnacentral:rRNA from 1 species